rnacentral:rRNA from 1 species
AGUGAACGCUGGCGGUAGGCCUAACACAUGCAAGUCGAACGGCAGCACAGUAAGAGCUUGCUCUUACGGGUGGCGAGUGGCGGACGGGUGAGGAAUACAUCGGAAUCUACUUUUUCGUGGGGGAUAACGUAGGGAAACUUACGCUAAUACCGCAUACGACCUACGGGUGAAAGCAGGGGAUCUUCGGACCUUGCGCGAUUGAAUGAGCCGAUGUCGGAUUAGCUAGUUGGCGGGGUAAAGGCCCACCAAGGCGACGAUCCGUAGCUGGUCUGAGAGGAUGAUCAGCCACACUGGGACUGAGACACGGUCCAGCCUCCUACGGGAGGCAGCAGUGGGGAAUAUUGGACAAUGGGCGCAAGCCUGAUCCAGCCAUACCGCGUGGGUGAAGAAGGCCUUCGGGUUGUAAAGCCCUUUUGUUGGGAAAGAAAAGCAGCAGGUUAAUACCCCGCUGUUCUGACGGUACCCAAAGAAUAAGCACCGGCUAACUUCGUG